AUUGAACGCUGGCGGCAGGCCUAACACAUGCAAGUCGAGCGGAGCGGCGGACGGGUGAGUAAUGCCUAGGAAUCUGCCUGGUAGCGGGGGAUAACGUCCGGAAACGGGCGGUAAUACCGCAUACUAUCAGAUGAGCCUAGGUCGGAGUAGCUAGUUGGGGGGGUAAAGGCCUACCAAGGCGACGAUCCGUAACUGGUCGGAGAGGCUGAUCAGUCACACUGGAACUGAGCCACGUCCCAGACGCCUACGGGAGGCAGCAUUGGGGAAUAUUGGAAAAUGGGCGAAAGCCUGACCCAGCCAUGCCGCGUGUGUGAAGAAGGUCUUCGGAUUGUAAAGCACGUUAAGUUGGGAGGCGUUACCAACAGAAUAAGCACCGGCUAACUUCGUGCCAGCAGCCGCGGUAAUUC
rnacentral:rRNA from 1 species